AUGGAUUAUCACCAGGAAACUUCAAUGCAAAAUAUAGUGCCAAACUAGAUGCGGAAAGAUUAAAAAGACGAGAGAAGGCAAAGCUUCCAGAAAAGAAAAGGCGACGAAUACAUCUUAAGCAAGAGCGAAUGUCACCCGGAAGGGAGCCUUUGAAACUGUUGAGGGUUCAUCUUAUCAGUCCGAAAUUGAACUCACAGCUACUGAUGCCAAUAUUGAAGUUAUUCCUGAUGCCAUACCAAAACUUUCUUUUGGACCUGUUGAGAGCUUGAAGAACUGUAGUCCCACCAUAGUCACUUUGGAUCUUGAAACUACUGGUUUGAUUCAGCGAGAUUUGAUUCCUCACUUGACACAGAUUGCUGCCAUGGAAACUUCCAGCAAGGAGGUAUUUUCGAGAUAUGUUGUGCCGAAAAUGCCUGUUAACAAUGAGGCCGAGAAGGUAACACGUAUCACCUAUUACGGAUCAUUCAAAUUCCAUGGAACUCCUGUCGAAGCUGUUACUAUACAAGAGGAUCUGAAAGAUUUCCUAAAUUGGUUAAAAAAGUUCAGUAAUGUUAUUCUUGUGGCACACAAUGGAAGACUGUUUGAUUUUAGGGUUCUGUCGUAUGCUAUUCAGAAGACUGGUUAUCUUCAGGAAAUCUCUAGAGUUGUGUAACAGCCUUGGCCGACUCUCAGAAUGCUAAAGAAAAAACAUCCUAAACUUGAAAGGUACACUCAGCUUUUUCUGGCUAAAUAUUUUGUGAUGAAGAAUACAAUGCUCACAAUUCCGUAGAUGAUGUGAGCAUGUUGGAAAAGAUAAUUGUAGCAGCCAGUUUAUCUGAACUUGAUUUUCAGCACUUCUCCUACAAUGCAGAAUCACACUACAUACAAGAUACUUUCAACAGUUCCAAGGCUAAGAAUCUUCCAAGCCUGUAUGUACUGGUAGCUCAGCGAAUUAUGAAAAGAUGCACGGCAGAGAAUGUUGCUGGCUCUGGACUGUGUCUGGAACAUUUAAGAAUAAUUUACAACAGAAAUGGCGAGGAUCAGGUCUCUACAAUGUGUUUUCUGUGAAAAAUAAGUUUGGAAAGCCACGUGUUACGUCAGACAAAAAGGUUUUAGGGGAAUGUAUUCCAAAGCUUUGUGCUUUCUUUUCCAACUGAUAGAACAUCACAUAAUAUAUUCACAAUGUAUAUUAUAUAAUAUGAGGUAUUUAUCAAAUAGACCUUUGAGUGGUUUCUCGUACAACUUUUUACAUUUUCAGAGUUCAUAUGAGAAGGAGUUGACUCUGAUAAAAUUCCAUGUAAACUUUAGAUUCAAAGCAGACGGCUGUUAGGCAAAAUAUAAAUAAACAAGACCAUAUGUGUAAUUUUUAAUCCCCCGCCACAAAUGGUGGGGGGUUAUAGGAAUGGUCUCUGUCU